UCAAACUCUUAUUCGGAAGUAUUAUAGUUCUCUGUUAAUAUUUUAGGUUAAAACUAUAACUACACUAAUACUUUUGUUUCCUCAUCUAAACAUAAUUUUAUGAUCUGUCUGUCUGUUUAAUGAGUUCCAUAAAGUUAAAUUUGCAAAUUGGAGUGAAGUGUUUACAGGAAUUUCAUUCAGUAGCCAUCACCUCAAAUUAUUUAGUUAGUAAUAGCACAAGGCUAACUUUACAUCAAUGCUAUAUUCAUGUAAUUUUUUCUUUACAAUUUUGUAUGUCUCAAGUUAUUUUCAUUAUUGAUUUCCAAGACAUUGUGUUAUAUUGGUCCUUUAUCUUGGAUGCUGUUGUGCUAUUUUUUUAGAAUUCUAUUGUUGAGUGAUAUUUUGUCCAUAAUAUACCCUAAACUACUAGGCCACAUUAUUAUUCCCUAAUACACUACUGUUUUUCUGUUGUUGUCUGUGAUGCAUAUAUGCAUGCCAAGUUGCAGAUAUGCAGCUAGACUCAAAUAAUCUCAGUGGCCGAAUUGGGCAGCGGUUCUUUGAAGUUUCUAAAUACAAGAUACCAUGAUGAUGGGCGCUGACUAUUAUCAAACACGAAAAAUCUUAGGUACAUAUGAGGGUGAUCGAUGAUGUUGAUCAUGUGUUUGCUGAGGAAGUGGAGAGUCCUAUUCCUAUUUGUGAAAGGGAUGUGGAGACUAUUGGAUUUAACCCCAAUGCUAGAGACAAACCUGUCUGCGAAAAUAGCUUUUAUUUAGAUAAGUUUAUAAUGAACAUGAAAUAACUUUAAAGAAUUAUUGUUAUAGUAUCUCUCUUGAAACUAAUAAACUGAUAGGAAAUUUGCAGGAAAGUCGAGAAUAUCGUAUACCAUUCUUGAAAUCAGUCUGUGAUCCUGUAUCUCUAACAUUAAAAAUGCCUAGAAUUUUUCAGGAAAGUCGAGAACGUCUUCGCUUUUAAGGGCUGAACAUGGAACUGUUAUGUUAGUCUAAGAAAUGGUUAGUCUAAAUUGCUAAGAUUAGAAUUCUGUCGAGACAUUUACGUAUUGAAUGUAUCUUUUGAACCAUACUACAGUGAGAGUAUUACUAAAGAAUUAUAUACAGAAGCUUUGUUGAUGAAGGGCAAGAGACCAAAACAACUUUGAAACCAUGACAAAGACAGAGUUUCUAACUCUCACUCAGAUUUGAAUUCCAGUGCUAAUUGAUCAAUGAGUUUGGAAACACGAGAGUGAAAGGCAUGAAGUGAUGAAGAACAUAAGUCUUGAUUUUGUUGAGGAUGACACUUGUGGUGUCUUGAAGGAGAGUUUUGCAAUUUUGUGUACUAGCGUUGAUAUUUUUCUGUCCAAAAUAAAUGAUUUCAUAUGAUAAUUAAAUAGUUUGAUUAAAAGAUUUGAAGAUCUUUCAUUUUAAAAUAGUAGGUAUGGUUUACGAAAGAAUAACCUUCAUCAAUGUCGUUGACGUUAUGAGUUUUUUAAAUUUGUGUAGCUGAGUUCAAUAGUCUUUAUAAGAAAUAAAAAAAAUUUCAUAAGUCAAUACUUCUUUUAGUUUGUUCAAGUUUGUCCAAGGUGGCUGGCUUAUAAGAAUUUCCACCAAUAUCAAUAGUGAUGUUUUAUAACAAAAUUACAAAACUAUAUAUAGGAAUAAUUCUAAAAAGAACUAUAAAAUAAUUCUUUUACUAAUAAUAUUGAUGUGGUUAGUUAUCAAUAAUUUUCAAACUUUCAACAUUUGAUUUUUGAAAUUAUCCACCAGUCAAGAAGGCCCA